CCCCUUCCCAGACCUAGGAGGAGUAAAGUAAAAGAGGGAGCGACCUUCCCACCAGGAAAAGUGGGUUCCUCAAUCUGGAAUCCCAGGGUCUACUUCUGGAAGAACUCUAGCAUAAUACCACUAGGACUCCACAAAACUGGCAAGCUCAAAGCAGCAGGUGGCAGGGAAGCAAAUGCCACCGGGUAUCACCGAGGACUAAAGCUCAGCAUUGAUGUUGGCCCUGCUGAAGGGGCAGGAGGGCUGGCCCAUCCCAUGGUGCCGCAGGCUGCGGCCACAUCUCACACCCUCCUGCGCUGAUGGUGGAAUGAGGUGUGGGUUGUUCCUGAGGUCCAGCUAACUUUGGGCUGCUAGAACAAAGAGAAAAACCCUUGGGUGCCAUCGGUAAAGUCACUACGCAGUUUCACUCCUCCAUUGGGUCCCUCAGAUAACUAAGCCUCCAAGAGCAAAAGGACAGCAAAGCCAGCCUGAACCGAGACUGCCUCAGCAUCAGACAGAAGUCACACGGACACGCUCCGCUCCAGCAGAAAAGCAGCUCGGCACUCACAGAUGGGCUCAGAGAUGAAAAGGACGAGGUCAACUGGGCACUGUGGCUCAUGCCUGCAAUCUCAGCUACUUGGGAGGCUAAGGCAGAAGCCAAGAGUUCAAGACUAGCCUGGGCAAAAUAGUGAGACCUUGUUUCUUAAACAAAUUUUAAAAUCUUAGCCAGGUGUGGCAGGUAGAUUGGUUGAGCCCAGGAGUUCCAGGCUACAGUGAGAUAUGGUUGCACCACUGCACUCUAACCUAGGUGACUAAGCAAGACUCCAUCUGUAAUUUGUUUUAAAAAGGAAGAAGUUGGCCAGACGCAGUGGCUUAUGCCUAUAAUCCCAGCACUUUGGGAGGCCAAGGCAGGCAGAUCACAAGGUCAGGAGUUUGAGCCUGGCCUGGCCAACAUGGUAAAACCCCGUCUCUACUAAAAAUACAAAACAAUUAGCUGGACAUGGUGGUGUGUGCCUGUAAUCCCAGCUACUCGGGAGGCUGAGGCAGGCGAAUCACUUGAACCCGGGAGGCAAAGGUUGCAGUGAGCUGAGAUCGAGCCAUUGCACUCCAGCCUAGGUGACAGGGCAAGACUCUGUCUCAAAAAAAAAAAAAAAAAAAAAGGAACAGAUUGGCCAGGCACGGUGGCUCACGCCUGUAAUCCCAGCACUUUGGGAGGCCAAGGCAGGUGGAUCACCUGAGGUCAGGAGUUUGAGACCAGCCUGACCAACAUGGUGAAACCCCAUCUCUACUAAAAAUACAAAAAUUAGCUAGGCAUGGUGGCGGGUGCCUGUAAACCCAGUUACUCAGGAGGCUGAGGCAGGAGAAUCACUUGAACCCAGGAGGUAAAGGCUGCAGUGAGCCAAGAUUGCACCACUGCACACCGGCCUUGGUGAGACAGAGUGAGG
rnacentral:lncRNA from 1 species